AGCCUGUGAUGAAGAAAAUUGAAUAAGAGUAGUGGACAGAAGUGGUUUCUGAAAAAUACUUCUGAGGCU